rnacentral:tRNA from 1 species
GGUAAAAUGACUGAAGUAUUAGGUGAUAAAUUGUAAAUUUAUAAAUGAGAAUUUUUCUCUUUUACCA